CUGUUUCGAGGAGGAGCGGCCUGUGGAACAGCCGGAGGACAUCUGGAAAAAUAUCGGACAGCUAGAGAGCAGUGAGAGAGCCUGAGCAGCCAGAGAGAUAUGCGAAAUCAAAGUUGCGCGCAGGAAUGGCCAUGCGCAGAAUGCGCAGUGGUUCGGCCGCCAUGUUGGCGCAUGACUGCGACGUCACUGCUACGUCAAACGCGUCAUACGGCCGCCAUGUUGGCGCGUGAAUCGGAGUCAUACGCAGUUACACGGA